UGUGCCCACAGGGAUCCUCAGGUGGAGAGCAUUGGCCAUGGCUCGGAAGGCUAGAGAGUCCCUCCUAAUUGCUGGGGGCCCUGAGAUAGUUUGUCAGCGACGCCCCAGGACUGCAGGAUUCUGAAGGAACAAUGAAGCCUUCAGACCUAGAAAAGGAAUCUAAGGAGGUUUGAGGAACAGAAGUUAAAGUUAACCUGAAGGCUGACAAAGGCCCCGGUCAAUUAGUCCAAACAAGAAUCAAUCAGAAAGAGCAGGCAGAAGCAACAUGGUGUGACCUCCAAGACGAGACAAAGGCAGCAAAUGCACGGAUGCCUGUCUUGCUCUGGGAACCUGGCCAGCUCACAGUGUCUACAGCAGCCUCCUGGUCUCCCAAGCUCCAGUCCAACCUCCCCACAGCAACCAGAACAACAGCCUCAAAAUGAGACGGGGUGGG